rnacentral:rRNA from 1 species
CCUACGGGAGGCAGCAGUGAGGAAUAUUGGUCAAUGGACGAGAGUCUGAACCAGCCAAGUAGCGUGAAGGAUGACUGCCCUAUGGGUUGUAAACUUCUUUUAUAUGGGAAUAAAAUGUUCCACGUGUGGGAUUUUGUAUGUACCCUAUGAAUAAGGAUCGGCUAACUCCGUGCCAGCAGCCGCGGUAAUACGGAGGAUCCGAGCGUUAUCCGGAUUUAUUGGGUUUAAAGGGAGCGUAGGUGGAUUGUUAAGUCAGUUGUGAAAGUUUGCGGCUCAACCGUAAAAUUGCAGUUGAAACUGGCAGUCUUGAGUACAGUAGAGGUGGGUGGAAUUCGUGGUGGAGCGGUGAAAUGCUGAGAUAUCACGAAGAACUCCGAUUGCGAAGGCAGUUCACUGGACUGCAACUGACACUGAGGCUCGAAAGUGUGGGUAUCAAACAGGAUUAGAUACCCGGGUAGUC